rnacentral:rRNA from 1 species
GAUGAACGCUGGCGGCGUGCCUAAUGCAUGCAAGUCGAGCGAACAGACGAGGAGCUUGCUCCUCUGACGUUAGCGGCGGACGGGUGAGUAACACGUGGAUAACCUACCUAUAAGACUGGGAUAACUACGGGAAACCGGAGCUAAUACCGGAUAAUAUAUUGAACCGCAUGGUUCAAUAGUGAAAGACGGUUUUGCUGUCACUUAUAGAUGGAUCCGCGCCGCAUUAGCUAGUUGGUAAGGUAACGGCUUACCAAGGCAACGAUGCGUAGCCGACCUGAGAGGGUGAUCGGCCACACUGGAACUGAGACACGGUCCAGACUCCUACGGGAGGCAGCAGUAGGGAAUCUUCCGCAAUGGGCGAAAGCCUGACGGAGCAACGCCGCGUGAGUGAUGAAGGUCUUCGGAUCGUAAAACUCUGUUAUUAGGGAAGAACAAAUGUGUAAGUAACUAUGCACGUCUUGACGGUACCUAAUCAGAAAGCCACGGCUAACUACGUG